AGGGGCGCGGCUGGCCACCUGCUCAGAGCCCGCACCGCCCUUGCCCCGCGUUGGUGUUUAUAUCUGCACACAUUGCCCGGCAGUCGAGGCUCCAGCUGUUCACUGCUGUCUCUACUUUUAGGAACUAAGCCAUAAUAAAGAACACUUUUAAAAGCCUUUGUUCAAUCCCAGCCUUUCCGGUGGACGCACACCUGACGCCCACACCCCGCGAAGGGUGACAAUGCGGUCUGUUUCGAGAGAACUCUAGAAGGGAGUUCUGCCUGAGGAAGCUGUUCUGGUGCCGUUUUUCCAGGGUCAUCGUCAACAAUACGUGGUUUCUCCCACACAAAGCACCUCUCCUUCCCAGGCCGGCCGCUUUCUCAUCUCAGGCCCAUCCCAGAACUCACUGUGUGGUGACCUGACCUCCGCCCCCCUGCACUGACUCUGAGGUCAGACACACCUGGCGUUGCUUUGGGACUAACACAGACCCGGAGUUGGUUACCGACCGGCAGUGUCUCUGUCGUGCUGCGGGAGGACUGGCGCACCUCCACAGGUGACUCGUGGCAGCAAGCGGGCUAAUGCUUACGAAAUACAGCAUUUGGUGUCUGGUAAGCGUGUAACAAGUUCAGAGAAAAACACAGUCUAAAAGUUAAGACACUAGGCACAGAGUUUCACUUCCUUUCAUUCCUGGCUUUUUCAGGGCUAUAUAAUUAAUUCUUUAAUAUUUACAUUUGGUUGAUUUCAUGAAGUUAUAAUUUUCCAAUUAAUGACCUUUUUGAAAAGACCAUUCAGUUUAGCAAGAUGGUCCGAUCGCAGCCAGGUCUCCACAUUGCUGGUGGGAGCGGAGUUCAGCACAGACUGCCUGAGCGGCAGCUUUCUCAAUACCAUCAGCAAGUCUCUUCAUGUUUUUAUCCCAGGGACACACACGGGGAGCUGAACAGACGCACAUCUGCCCCUGGACACACGGCAGCAAGGGUCUGACGGAGUGCACACCCAGCAGUUAACAGAGACAGGACGUAAGUCACCACUGGCCAAGGACAGCCAGCAGGAGACGCUGAGAUGCCCCGAGGCCGGGAGGACCGGGCUCAGGGGGCCGUCCAGGAGCAGGGCUGCCAUGCUGGCCACUGGCCCCUGGCCCAGCUCUGAGGGGACAGACCAGCAGUCGCAAAACUACACCUACGGUGGGGGCGACAGGCACAGGAGAGCCUCCACAGAGGACCGGCGGGGAGGCCGGGCCAUCAGCCAGCGUUUCAACAUGGCCCGCAGCCCCAGGGAGGGUGAUAGAACCCAGACCGAGAGUGUGGCCUGCCGCGACGCUCUGGGGUGGGGAUUCUGGAACUGCUCCCUUUUCUCCUUCGUUUCUUGUCAGUAGUUUCCAAAUAUUCCAUAAUAAGUAUGUGUCACUCUUGUAGUAGCAAGAAAACAAAAAAAGGUGUGUU